UAGGGAAUCUUCGGCAAUGGGGGGAACCCUGACCGAGCAACGCCGCGUGAGUGAAGAAGGUUUUCGGAUCGUAAAGCUCUGUUGUUAAGGAAGAACGAGUGUGAGAAUGGAAAGUUCAUACUGUGACGGUACUUAACCAGAAAGCCACGGCUAACUACGUGCCAGCAGCCGCGGUAAUACGUAGGUGGCAAGCGUUAUCCGGAAUUAUUGGGCGUAAAGCGCGCGUAGGCGGUUUUUUAAGUCUGAUGUGAAAGCCCACGGCUCAACCGUGGAGGGUCAUUGGAAACUGGAAAACUUGAGUGCAGAAGGGGAAAGUGGAAUUCCAUGUGUAGCGGUGAAAUGCGCAGAGAUAUGGAGGAACACCAGGGGCGAAGGCGACUUUCUGGUCUGUAACUGACGCUGAUGUGCGAAAGCGUGGGGAUCAAACAGG
rnacentral:rRNA from 1 species